AUUGAACGCUGGCGGCAGGCUUAACACAUGCAAGUCGAGCGGGGUGAUGGUGCUUGCACUAUCACUUAGCGGCGGACGGGUGAGUAAUGCUUAGGAAUCUGCCUAUUAGUGGGGGACAACAUCUCGGAAGGGAUGCUAAUACCGCAUACGUCCUACGGGAGAAAGCAGGGGAUCACUUGUGACCUUGCGCUAAUAGAUGAGCCUAAGUCGGAUUAGCUAGUUGGUGGGGUAAUGGCCUACCAAGGCGACGAUCUGUAGCGGGUCUGAGAGGAUGAUCCGCCACACUGGGACUGAGACACGGCCCAGACUCCUACGGGAGGCAGCAGUGGGGAAUAUUGGACAAUGGGGGGAACCCUGAUCCAGCCAUGCCGCGUGUGUGAAGAAGGCCUUAUGGUUGUAAAGCACUUUAAGCGAGGAGGAGGCUCUUUUGGUUAAUACCCAAGAUGAGUGGACGUUACUCGCAGAAUAAGCACUGGCUAACUCUGUGCCAGCCGCCGCAGUAA
rnacentral:rRNA from 1 species